CCUCCCUCUCCCCUCCAAUCUUUGGGCGAGGGGCCUGGGCGGAGUGAUUCUCAGGUCCUGAGACCCGCCCCAUCGGGUGGAAAACUGCCCUCGAGCUGGCUUGGUCUGGCGGGGGACGCAGGACUCAGACCCUGGGGGAAUGGAGGAGGGGGCGGGUCCUGGGGGUGAUGUCCAGCCACAUUAGGGUGCCGUUUGCCUUGACGGCCCUCGGCCCACGCGCCCGGGCCGGGCAGCACUGCCCCGGAACUGAGACGAAAGAAGGAAGCAGGACAGAGCGCCAAUCUAUUUCGCGCAGCCAGACCGGAAUCUAGGCUGAUUCGAUCUCGCCUCUACAGCCGAGAUUGCACCACUGCUUUACCCGUCCUGCAUUCCCGUUUGGGACACACUCGCAGUGCUACUAUAAAACGGCUGCCCUGAAUCCACAAGCCGCUUAAAAAUCGAUCUUUGUGUGUGCGGCUCU